AUUGAAGACUAUUUUUAAGGAAAAAAUACAUAAAAAACAACUAAAAGUUGUUUCAAGUGUGACACAGAAGAGCAUGAAGUUUUGGGAAAUAUAAGAACAAAUUAGACAACUCAAUUCUCAUUCCAGCCUUUGGAUCAUAUCUUGGCUCUGCUUCCUGACCUUUGGCAGCUUAUUUGGUUCCUGUUUUUGGACUCACCCUCAGCUUGUAUCCUGAUCCUGGCUCCAGACCUUUGGCCAUUAGAUUCCUCAUGAAGAAGACGUUUCUGACAACAGAUUCCUCAUGUCCUUUGACCUGCAUGCUGAAGAAGAACAAGAAGAAGUUUUCUGACAUGAGAAGCCUCAUGACCUGCCUCUCCCUCCUGGACUUGCUCUGCAC
ensembl:lncRNA